GACGAACGCUGGCGGCGUGCUUAACACAUGCAAGUCGAACGGAAAGGCCCUGCUUUUGUGGGGUGCUCGAGUGGCGAACGGGUGAGUAACACGUGAGUAACCUGCCCUUGACUUUGGGAUAACUUCAGGAAACUGGGGCUAAUACCGGAUAGGAGCUCCUGCUGCAUGGUGGGGGUUGGAAAGUUUCGGCGGUUGGGGAUGGACUCGCGGGUUAUCAGCUUGUUGGUGGGGUAGUGGCUUACCAAGGCUUUGACGGGUAGCCGGCCUGAGAGGGUGACCGGCCACAUUGGGACUGAGAGACGGCGCAGACUGCUACGGGAGGCAGCAGUGGGAAGUAUUACGCAGCGGGGGGAAGCCUGAUGCAGAGACGCCGCGUGCGGGAUAACGGCCUACGGGUUAUAAACCGAUUUCGCCUGUAACGAAGCGUGAGUGACGGUAAUGGGUAAGGAAGCACCGGCUAACUACGUG
rnacentral:rRNA from 1 species